rnacentral:rRNA from 1 species
AAUGUUGUCUCUCUUGAGUGGAUCCUGAGUACGACGGAGCACGUGAAAUUCCGUCGGAAUCUGGGAGGACCAUCUCCUAAGGCUAAAUACUCUCUAGUGACCGAUAGUGAACCAGUACCGUGAGGGAAAGGUGAAAAGCACCCCGGAAGGGGAGUGAAAUAGAACCUGAAACCGUGUGCUUACAAGUAGUCAGAGCCCGUUAAUGGGUGAUGGCGUGCCUUUUGUAGAAUGAACCGGCGAGUUACGAUUUGAUGCAAGGUUAAGCAGUAAAUGUGGAGCCGUAGCGAAAGCGAGUCUGAAUAGGGCGUUUAGUAUUUGGUCGUAGACCCGAAACCAGGUGAUCUACCCUUGGUCAGGUUGAAGUUCAGGUAACACUGAAUGGAGGACCGAACCGACUUACGUUGAAAAGUGAGCGGAUGAACUGAGGGUAGCGGAGAAAUUCCAAUCGAACCUGGAGAUAGCUGGUUCUCUCCGAAAUAGCUUUAGGGCUAGCCUCAAGUGAUGAUUAUUGGAGGUAGAGCACUGUUUGGACGAGGGGCCCCUCUCGGGUUACCGAAUUCAGACAAACUCCGAAUGCCAAUUAAUUUAACUUGGGAGUCAGAACAUGGGUGAUAAGGUCCGUGUUCGAAAGGGAAACAGCCCAGACCACCAGCUAAGGUCCCAAAAUAUAUGUUAAGUGGAAAAGGAUGUGGCGUUGCCCAGACAACUAGGAUGUUGGCUUAGAAGCAGCCAUCAUUUAAAGAGUGCGUAAUAGCUCACUAGUCGAGUGACACUGCGCCGA